rnacentral:rRNA from 3 species
AGACCCGAAACCCGGUGAUCUAGCCAUGGGCAGGUUGAAGGUUGGGUAACACUAACUGGAGGACCGAACCGACUAAUGUUGAAAAAUUAGCGGAUGACCUGUGGCUGGGGGUGAAAGGCCAAUCAAACCGGGAGAUAGCUGGUUCUCCCCGAAAGCUAUUUAGGUAGCGCCUCGUGAAUUCAUCUCCGGGGGUAGAGCACUGUUUCGGCUAGGGGGCCAUCCCGGCUUACCAACCCGAUGCAAACUGCGAAUACCGGAGAAUGUUAUCACGGGAGACACACGGCGGGUGCUAACGUCCGUCGUGAAGAGGGAAACAACCCAGACCGCCAGCUAAGGUCCCAAAGUCAUGGUUAAGUGGGAAACGAUGUGGGAAGGCCCAGACAGCCAGGAUGUUGGCUUAGAAGCAGCCAUCAUUUAAAGAAAGCGUAAUAGCUCACUGGUCGAGUCGGCCUGCGCGGAAGAUGUAACGGGGCUAAACCAUGCACCGAAGCUGCGGCAGCGAACGUAUCACCCAAGACAACUUUACGGAGUUGACGAUUGACGGAGCGAAGCGACGUCAAAGCGUUCAUUAAAGUCGAGUUGGCUUAGGGAUACGUUCGUUGGGUAGGGGAGCGUUCUGUAAGCCUGUGAAGGUGUGUCGUGAGGCAUGCUGGAGGUAUCAGAAGUGCGAAUGCUGACAUAAGUAACGAUAAAGCGGGUGAAAAGCCCGCUCGCCGGAAGACCAAGGGUUCCUGUCCAACGUUAAUCGGGGCAGGGUGAGUCGACCCCUAAGGCGAGGCCGAAAGGCGUAGUCGAUGGGAAACGGGUUAAUAUUCCCGUACUUGGUGUUACUGCGAAGGGGGGACGGAGAAGGCUAUGUUGGCCGGGCGACGGUUGUCCCGGUUUAAGCGUGUAGGUGUGUGUUCCAGGUAAAUCCGGUUCACUUUAACACUGAGGCGUGACGACGAGGCACUACGGUGCUGAAGCAACAAAUGCCCUGCUUCCAGGAAAAGCCUCUAAGCAUCAGGUAACAUCAAAUCGUACCCCAAACCGACACAGGUGGUCAGGUAGAGAAUACCAAGGCGCUUGAGAGAACUCGGGUGAAGGAACUAGGCAAAAUGGUGCCGUAACUUCGGGAGAAGGCACGCUGACACGUAGGUGAAGUGAUUUACUCAUGGAGCUGAAGUCAGUCGAAGAUACCAGCUGGCUGCAACUGUUUAUUAAAAACACAGCACUGUGCAAACACGAAAGUGGACGUAUACGGUGUGACGCCUGCCCGGUGCCGGAAGGUUAAUUGAUGGGGUCAGCGCAAGCGAAGCUCCUGAUCGAAGCCCCGGUAAACGGCGGCCGUAACUAUAACGGUCCUAAGGUAGCGAAAUUCCUUGUCGGGUAAGUUCCGACCUGCACGAAUGGCGUAAUGAUGGCCAGGCUGUCUCCACCCGAGACUCAGUGAAAUUGAACUCGCUGUGAAGAUGCAGUGUACCCGCGGCAAGACGGAAAGACCCCGUGAACCUUUACUAUAGCUUGACACUGAACAUUGAGCCUUGAUGUGUAGGAUAGGUGGGAGGCUUUGAAGUGUGGACGCCAGUCUGCAUGGAGCCGACCUUGAAAUACCACCCUUUAAUGUUUGAUGUUCUAACGUGGACCCGUUACCCGGGUUGCGGACAGUGUCUGGUGGGUAGUUUGACUGGGGCGGUCUCCUCCUAAAGAGUAACGGAGGAGCACGAAGGUUGGCUAAUCCUGGUCGGACAUCAGGAGGUUAGUGCAAUGGCAUAAGCCAGCUUGACUGCGAGCGUGACGGCGCGAGCAGGUGCGAAAGCAGGUCAUAGUGAUCCGGUGGUUCUGAAUGGAAGGGCCAUCGCUCAACGGAUAAAAGGUACUCCGGGGAUAACAGGCUGAUACCGCCCAAGAGUUCAUAUCGACGGCGGUGUUUGGCACCUCGAUGUCGGCUCAUCACAUCCUGGGGCUGAAGUAGGUCCCAAGGGUAUGGCUGUUCGCCAUUUAAAGUGGUACGCGAGCUGGGUUUAGAACGUCGUGAGACAGUUCGGUCCCUAUCUGCCGUGGGCGCUGGAGAACUGAGGGGGGCUGCUCCUAGUACGAGAGGACCGGAGUGGACGCAUCACUGGUGUUCGGGUUGUCAUGCCAAUGGCACUGCCCGGUAGCUAAAUGCGGAAGAGAUAAGUGCUGAAAGCAUCUAAGCACGAAACUUGCCCCGAGAUGAGUUCUCCCUGAGACUUAGAGUCUCCUGAAGGAACGUUGAAGACGACGACGUUGAUAGGCCGGGUGUGUAAGCGCAGCGAUGCGUUGAGCUAACCGGUACUAAUGAACCGUGAGGCUUAACCUUACA